GGCUAACGCGAUGGGGGCCUCAGCCCGGCGCACAGCGCCCAAGAGCAACCCCCUUGCGACUUAACACACAGGCACUUGGCCGCCUUGAUGAGGAGCCUAAGAAAAGUGAGUGCCCCAGCCCAAACAUGCCAGGAAGGGAGCUGGAGACCUGCACGCCAGGAGGAAACGUCCGUCCUCACGCUUCUUGCUCUGCAGCAAACCUCUCCCCCAGGAUCCAACCUACCGCGCUCCAGAGUCAGCAGAAGUCACUGAAAACAGCUUGGCACGAGGCAGAUGGGCAACAGCCUCUCUUGGCAUGUUGAACCCUGAGCUGCCCUCUCCAACCGCUGAAACCUGCAGAAUCAGCAGGAGUCACAGCGGGACCUUUGGUCCUCACUCGGUAAAUUGAACACCAGGGACUGCAGGCUCCUUCACGGGUGUCUGCUCCAUGCACCAGCCUAGCUCUGUGCUGAGCAAGGAAGUGGAGGUGGCCCGGGGCUAGUGUCCAGAGCAUGAGCCUGGAGCCGGCACCGCGCGGCAUCGCUCCCCCGCAGCGCAGCUUUCGCAGCCCUGCCGCGAGCAGCACGCUCUUCAUCGUUGUCUGCUGCAAGCUCGACUUGCUCAGCGGUGAAGAGAGCCUCGAACCUCUGUCUGAUUUUGGUGUUGUUUCACUUGAGGGGAGGCCAGAUGUUUAUCUUCCCCCUAAUAAUUUUUUGAGCCAUCCAUCCAUUUAUUUAUCUUUUUCAUGCUUAAUGAUUUGCAAAAGCAUAAAGAGCCUGUGGUUUGGAAACCAUGCUACAAUCUGAGGAGUGCAGAGACGGAGUCUGAACUACUUUCUAACAUGAAUAAAUAAACAGCAUGGAAAGGCUCCAUUGUGUAUAUUCCAGGUUGCUAUUUUCUUAACCCUAUCUCAUUAAGAUGGAUGGAGUUUCUGCUUAUUAGUAAUUUGGCAAGUUCCUCUUUGUGUGUACUCUGCACUUCUCACUAAUGAUGCUUUGCUUCAGUGAUUAACAAAAGAGACUUCCAACAUAGUCAGUGAAAACACAGCCACGCACUUGGGGCGCUCGGCGGAAACCCAGCAUUCUGGGGAUGCGGUUUGCUGAAGACAAGGACCUGCAGGGAACCCAGAAAAGGAAAAGCUGCUGAUCAUAAAACCUUUUCUGACAUUCAAAUAAUAUUGACCUAAGGACAUUGGUUCUUUGAUUUACAUGCACAAUUGCAGAACUGACAGAGCCUAAAACAAAGUGAUUCAAAGCCCUUAUGCUGCUGUUCCUAAAAUGUGUCCGAUGGAGAUGAAGUUGGCACUGCUACUGCCUGGAUUUACAGCUGGCCAUUAAAGUAUGUUUACAAGCCUUUA